AGUAGAAUGGCUGAUAAAGGUGAUAAAUUGUAAAUUUAUUUAUGAAUAAUUAAUUCUUCUACUA
rnacentral:tRNA from 1 species